ACCUGAGCAAUCACACAUUAAGAGCAACUUUCAAGUGGCAUACCGAACCAUCUCACCAACCAACCUAGUUGUUAUUGUUGGUGCACAACAUAUAUUUAAUAUAAUACUCUGAUAUGUAUAUAGAUAUAUAAACCAUAUAUACACAAUCUUUCUUGAGGCUAGCGGGUGCAGGUUCGCCUCUGUUCUUUGGUAAGCAGUUUCCUCAACGUCGCAAGCCAAAGAAUGAAUCUUGUUUCGGCUGUAGUAAUCUACUCCAAACCAGUUCACUUGGUUCAAAUAUACUUCAAAUACUUACCAGAAGGUGAGAGAAUAUAGUUUCCAUUGCUAUACCAUUCAAACAUCCAUAGCUUUAUUUUGUCUAAUGUCAUCCAGUACCGGCUACAACAAGUAUGAAUAAUCCUACAUAGUAUCAGGUUCAAUUAAACAGAAACAAAAUACUACUGAUUUUUUCCCAUUUGUUUCAGUUUCGGUAAACGGAGUUACCUGAUAUAUGCUGGUGGGAGGUGGGUGCAGGUAUCUCAUGGAAUUAGUUGAGGUGCGCGCAACCUGACCCAAGCACCACGAUUAUAAAAAAAACACUAGUCCCCAAAAAGACCCUCUUCUCUUCCAUUUUGGCCACCUAAGAAGUAGAAGCCACUUUCAAUUUCCAAGUUUUCUCCUUAUCUUUCACACUUAACUAAUCACCAAUGCCAAUAACCCUUCACCCUUUCACUCGGUUCUACUCUUUCAAUACAAGAGCUCGUUUAGAAAUCCCAUCAUGUAACUCUUGACUUAUUUUUGUUAUUUUAGUUUAAAGUAAACCCUUAAAAGCGCACUUUUUAUGUUACUCAAACACUGUAAAAAAUACUUAAAAACUAUUUCAAUUAAAAGCACAUAAAAUAAGUCAAUUCAAACAAGUUUCAAGUAUACAACACACAUUUAUGCUUUUUCCUAACACUUUUUUUAACAUAAAUUUUGCUCAUAAAUGUAUAAAUGGCAUAACACAAUUCGGUUUAUAUCCUUCCUCUUGAUAAUAAACAAAAAAUCAGCAACAUUUAACACAUAC
rnacentral:lncRNA from 1 species